GUGUCAAAAUAGGUCCAACAUAGGAAGUUAGCAUAUUAGAACUGAAAUUCAUUAAUGCUAUUUUAUGCUAUAUGUUUAAAUGAAUGUCAAAAUGGAUUUCACUACUAGAAUUUACCUGAUACCUCAUUUUAUCAUGUGAUUUUGCAUAUUUGUUAAAUUGUUUUAAUUUUAUUGCCUUAUUAUUUUUCUUGAGCUAUUUCAGGGUCACAUGUGCAAGUUGAAGCAUUUCGGAAGUUAUCAAAGAAAGCAACACCAAGAGCACGUUUAUGAACUUGCAAUUUUGACUCCUUCAAAAAGAUUGAAUAUAUAUUUUGGGAUAUUUAGAGACCUCUUUUGGAUUUGUGUUCUUCAUAAGAUAUAAAAUAGACACCAUAAGCUUUCAUACAAUCAAUUAAGAACCAACUCAUUCUGAGGUGUCUAUAGGACGUUAUGAAGUUCAAAAGUUGGUGGUGCGCAUGUUUUGCGAUCGCAAAGAGAUCUUGACCGUGUUGUAUUGAGUGACGAUUUUGAAAUUCUUAGAGGCCUCUAAUUGUAAUAUCACGUAAUUUUCCGGCAUGUCUUGCCAAGGUUUCGAAUAGUUUCCGAUUAGACUCUAAUUUCUUAUGUGUUAAUUUUAUCCAUGUGUUUAUUUUUAAUUGGCUCUACUUAUUUAUUUGAUUUUUUGGUUGAGUUUUUGAAUUUUUUUGCAUGGUGGCAUAUGAGUUUUAUCGGGCUUUAAAAUCGUUGCGUUUUGGUUAUCGUUCGAAGUUUUAAAACUGAUUUAAAGCUUUCAGACGAUCGUCUAAAAUUUUAGAUGAGCGUAUGUUCUUUUAAGUAAAUUUUGGACGAUCGUCCAGUGUUUUAAACGAUCGUCUAAACCGGUUUGUAUAUAAAGCUGAAUUUCAUUUUAAAACUCAUUUUUCUAACAAAACUCAAAUUGAAAGCUGCAACACUAUUCAUCUUCUCUCCCAAUUGAAAUAUCUUACCCUAAGCCUAACUUUGGAGAUUUUAAGAUCAAAUAACAUUUUAAAACACCCUUAUAAAUUAAGAAGAUUUUGGUACAUGCGUAAAAGGAUUUGAAGGAUUUUCAAACUUGUUUGUUCUUGGAGCAUAAGCAUUUCGGUUUUCAUUUUUAUUUUUCAGAUUUUGAACUUCAAGAGGCAUAAUGUGGGAGUUUUUCAUGAUAUUCAAGCCAUUUGGAAGCCAUUUUGAUCAUAAUUGAAGCUUUGAGGAAAGUUGUGCGAAGAUCCGAUGAAAAUAGAGACGCCGAGAGCACAAUUUCCUACUUGUGAAUUUGACCCCUCUGCAUUGAUUGAAGAUUUUGGAGUACUUCGAGAAUUUAAUCGACUUUAUGUUCUUCACAAGAAAUAAAGUAGACAUCCUAAAAUUAUCAUAGAAUCAAGAAUCGCCUCAUUCCGACGUUUCUACACCGAGUUAUGACCUUUUGAAGUUGACAGUUGUGCAGCAGAAAAAGUGCACGAACGUGUAACCUAAAGUGCACGAACGUGUACUUUGGCCGAAGGGAAAUUGAAGGCGAAACUGAAGAAAAAAGUGAAAAAUUGGCUAAGUGUUGGGGUGCACGAACGUGUACCUUUGGUGCACGAACUUGCACCCGCAGAACCAACAAAAUGUGCACGAACGUGCACCAAAGUGCACGAACGUACACUUGAGGGUUCCUGCGACCUGUUUUGGACAAAAAUGCCCCGAAACAUUGCCAAACACCACCAAACUCGAGGGCACUUCUGGGUUUUCACUAAAACUCGACCUAAAGUCAUUCUCUGAGCCAAAAGACAUAUAAAUACGACAUUAAGACAUUGAAGGAAGGGUUCGCUUAGUUCGCCACAUUAGACAUUAGUUAUUACAUUAGUUUAACUUAGUUUUUGAUAUCCGUUCAUCGUUUUAGCUUGUAUUCUGAAUUUUCUACAUUAUUGUUUUGGGAUUAUUGUCGAUCAAGGUACGAUAACUAUUAAGAGAUUAAUUUUAUUGUUUCUUAUUCA